rnacentral:rRNA from 1 species
AGAGUUUGAUCAUGGCUCAGAGCGAACGCUGGCGGCAGGCCUAACACAUGCAAGUCGAGCGCCCGUGGCAACACGGGAGCGGCAGACGGGUGAGUAACACGUGGGAACGUGCCCUUCGGUUCGGAAUAACCCGGGGAAACCCGGACUAAUACCGGAUACGUCCGCAAGGAGAAAGAUUUAUCGCCGAAGGAGCGGCCCGCGUCCGAUUAGCUUGUUGGUGAGGUAACGGCUCACCAAGGCUACGAUCGGUAGCUGGUCUGAGAGGAUGAUCAGCCACACUGGGACUGAGACACGGCCCAGACUCCUACGGGAGGCAGCAGUGGGGAAUAUUGGACAAUGGGCGCAAGCCUGAUCCAGCCAUGCCGCGUGAGUGAUGAAGGCCCUAGGGUUGUAAAGCUCUUUCGGCGGGGAAGAUAAUGACGGUACCCGCAGAAGAAGCCCCGGCCAACUUCGUGCCAGCAGCCGCGGUAAUACGAAGGGGGCUAGCGUUGCUCGGAAUCACUGGGCGUAAAGCGCACGUAGGCGGGUUGCUAAGUCGGGGGUGAAAUCCUGGAGCUCAACUCCAGAACUGCCUUCGAUACUGGCGGCCUUGAGUCCGGGAGAGGUGAGUGGAACUCCGAGUGUAGAGGUGAAAUUCGUAGAUAUUCGGAAGAACACCAGUGGCGAAGGCGGCUCACUGGCCCGGUACUGACGCUGAGGUGCGAAAGCGUGGGAGCAAACAGGAUUAGAUACCCCCGUAGUCC